GCUACCUAGUGUCCUCAGGCUGCAGAAGUGGUGACUGGCAGACAUGGCUCAAUUUGUCCAGGUCCUGGCUGAAAUAGGUGACUUUGGUCGCUUCCAGAUAUGGCUAUGGAUCCUGCUGUGUGUUCCCAACUUCCUGAGUGCCUUCUACUUUUUUGCCCAUGUCUUUAUGGUCCUGGAUGAGCCCCACCACUGUGCAGUGGCCUGGGUGAAGAACCAGACUUUCAACCUGAGUGCUGCUGAACAGCUGGCACUGAGCGUGCCCCUGGACACUGCAGGCCACCCGGAUCCCUGCCUCAUGUUCCGGCCACCCCCUGCCAAUGCCAGCCUGCAGGACAUCCUCAGCCACCGCUUCAAUGCGACGCAGCCUUGUGAUCUGGGCUGGGAAUAUCCUGAGGACAGGCUCCCCUCCCUAAAGAAUGAGUUCGACCUGGUUUGUGAUCGGAAGCACCUGAAGGACACCUCGCAGUCAGCGUUCAUGGCCGGGCUCCUUGCUGGCAGCCUCAUGUUUGGGCCCCUCUGCGACCGGAUCGGCCGCAAGGCCACCAUCCUGGCGCAGCUUCUCCUCUUCUCUGCCGUCGGCCUGGCCACCGCCUUUGUGCCCAGCUUCGAGCUCUACAUAGCCCUGCGCUUCGCUGUGGCCACCGCCGUCGCCGGGUUUACCUUCAGCAAUGUCACCCUGCUGACAGAGUGGGUGGGGCCCUCGUGGACAACGAAGGCCGUGGUCCUGUCCCACUGCAGCUUCUCCUUCGGGCAGAUGGCGCUCGCGGGACUCGCCUACUAUCUCCGCAGCUGGAGACUCCUCCAGAUGGCCGGCACCGCGCCUGGCUUCCUGCUCUUCUUCUACUUCUGGGUUCUGCCAGAGUCUGCACGGUGGCUCCUGACCCAGGGGAGGAUGGAUGAGGCGAAACAGCUGAUCCGGAAGGCAGCCUCGGUCAACAGGCGGAAACUCUCCCCAGAGCUCCUGAGCCAGCUGGUCCCAGAGAGGACAGGCCCCUCAGGGAAUGUCCUGGAUCUGUUCAGACACCCCCAGCUCCGGAAGGUGACGCUGAUUCUCUUCUGUGUCUGGUUUGUGGACAGUGUGGGGUACUUCGGGCUGAGCCUCCAGGUGGGGGACUUCGGCCUGGACAUCUACCUGACGCAGCUCAUCUUUGGAGCUGUUGAGGUGCCUGCUCGUGCUUCCAGCAUCCUCAUGAUGGAAAAGUUUGGCCGCAAGUGGAGCCAGCUGGGGACCUUGGUCUUGGGUGGCCUUAUGUGUAUCAUCAUCAUCUUCAUCCCAGCAGAUCUGCCCGUGGUGGUCACCGUGCUGGCUGUGGUGGGGAAGAUGGCCACAUCGGCCGCCUUUACCGUCUCCUACGUGUACUCUGCUGAGCUCUUCCCCACCGUCCUCCGACAGGCAUGGGGCUGGUAGGCAUCUUCUCUCGGCUUGGGGGCAUCGCCACACCACUGGUGAUCCUGCUGGGAGGGUACUAUGCUGCCCUCCCCAUGCUCAUCUACGGCAGCCUCCCCAUCGUGGCCGGCCUGCUCUGUGCCCUGCUGUCAGAGACGCGUGGCCAGGCCCUGAAAGACACCAUCCAGGACCUGGACCAGGAGCCCCACCCACGGUCCCCCAGAUCAGCGCCCUCAGAGAAGGAAACGGAAGCCACAGGAAGAACUUCUAGCCUGGGAGCGGCCUUAGUGAGCAGCACAUACUUCUGACUGAGGUCUCUAGGAGCUGGACCAUCAGCAGCAGGGAGCUGCCUAAACACCCCCCUUGGAUAUGGCCAGGACCCAUGGCGACACAGCGCAAGACCAGCCUUGCUAUGGAGGCAGUACACCACAACCCGGCCCAUGACUGUCACCUGCCGCCGAGCCCAGUCCCAGAAGUGCCUGGGACAGGACCUCCCGGCCUCCUUCCCCUUUCUCCUCUCCAGAGCUCCGCCCCCGAUACCCUUCUGGGAAGGAUCUUGGGUUUUGCUUGUCCUCCCACGGUCUUCACAGGGCAGGGCUCUCUUGAUCUCCUCAAUCUGGCGUCCCCUGCCCUCAAAACACAGUAAAGCUCAGAGCAGAACACAUGGUAAGGCCUUUUCAAGUUGUGGGAACAGGAGGCGAGAGAAAACAAAUGUGAAGCUGUGGACU